rnacentral:lncRNA from 1 species
GGCCUUACCAUAUGAUGUUGUUUGAAUAUUUGUCCCCUUCAAAUCUCCUGUUGAAAUGUAAUCCCCAGGGUUGGAGGUGGAGCCUGGUGGAGGUGUUUGCUUAUGAGGGUGGACCCUUCAUGAACGGCUUAGUGCCAUCCCCUUGGUGACUAGUGAGUUCUAGCUCUGAAUUUAUGUGAGAUCUGGUUGUUUAAAACAGUGUGGUACCUCCCCACUCGCUCUCUUGCUGCUGCUCUCACCCUGUGAGAUGCCUGCUCUCUCUUCACCUUCUGCCAUGAGUGGAAGCUUCCUGAGGCCAUCACCAGAAGCAGGCACUAUGCACCAUGAUUCCUGUACUGUCUGCAGAACCGUGAGCCAAUGAAACCUCUUUUCUUUAUAAUUUACCCAGCACAGGUUUUUUUUUUUUUUUUUUUUUUUUUUUUUUUUUUUUUUGUUUUUGUUUUUUUUUUUAUAGUAAUACAAGAACAGCCUAACACAUCAUCCCUGAAUAAGAACAACCUCUUGGGUAUGUUUUUAAAAAUCCCAGCAUCUGGCACAGUACCUGUUACAUAGAAGGAACCACAGGCAAUUACAGCGGGAUAACCAAAUGGAGAGGACAGGUGACUCCCUGAAAAACAGCAAUCAGACCAAGACCUGCAGAAGAAAGGUGAACUUCACCCAGAAACCCCAACCCGGACACAGAGCAGAGAUAAGGCGGGUGAGAGUGCCUCAGGAGGAAUGUUAACCAGAUUCCAGAAGCCUGCCAGUCAGUCGUGCUGCUGGAGUGCAGUGGUGCAGUCACGGCUCACCGCAGCUUCAACCUUCUGGACUCGAGUGAUUCUCCCACCUCAGCCUCCCCAGACGUGGAGACCACAGAACGUUAUUCCACAGAAGCAAGGACUUGGUCUUCUUCAUUCACUGCUGCAUCCACAGUGCUCAGGACAGCGCCUGUGCAGGAACCCCUCCUGAAUGACUGGCAUUUGCACACAGCCUUCUCCACUGCACCACGUGGACACAAGCAGUGUAGGGGAUGCAGCGUCCAUCUGCCCCCUGCUGCUCCUGUCGCAGCCUUCUGCCUUCAGGACCCACCAUUUAAGCCUCUUCUUCCUUCUCUACCUCUCCACUGCCUCAAUCCAGAGAAACUUUAUCCAGCCUGGGGCAGGGCUGUCUGGCUCUGACUGAUCACAUAUUCUCCUAAAUCUAUUAUUUAUGCCUAAACCGUAUGCCCUGAGUCUUUCAGGCCUGAGGCUUCUUAUGCUCAAAAGCCGGGCUUUGAAAUACAGAAAGCUUCUUCCCCCCUUAAAACUAUGGUCUCUGCUGUGAGUUUCCAGAAGCCUAUUUUGUAACACAGAAGUGAAAGCUUGAUUCCUUUUACUGUAUUUUGCAAUGUCAUCACUUCACUAAUGCAAGGCAUGUGAAUGUCCCUGCGGCUGCCUAUACCAGAGGGCAGGCCAAGGGGUUAGUAAGUAGGGUGAGGUUCGUGGAUCAAAAUAUUAUUUGUCACAUACUCUGUAGUACAGGAACUCUCACUAAGUAUUGCAAGUGUAAAUGACCUUGGAAGCACUUUCUAGUUGGAGCCACAGCAUUGGCAAACAAAGCUAAAAAUAAUAAACCCAGUGUUGCUGGGGACGUGGGAAACACCAUGCAUUAGGGAUGCUGCACUCCUUUGCUCCGAUAUUUCUGGAAAGCAGUCUGGUAAUAGUGUAUCAAGAACUAUCAACAUUAUCCCCUGAUGAUGCAUUGGUAAUACCACUUUGGGAGAUCUACUCCAUAAGCAUAAGCCAAAAGAAGCAAAAGAAAAACCAUAAUCUUGUUCAAAGAUGAUCAUGGCAUUAUUUAGAAACAAUGAAAAUAUCCCAGACAGGAAAGUGGUUAAGCACUAUGAUCUGUCAAGACAAUGGGAUAGUAGCUAAAUCUUUGGGCUUAGGGUAGGAUAACUACUUUAACAAAUAACCACAAACCUUGGUGGCUUAGCACAAUAAAGUUUAUUUCUUACACACAUUGCAACUCAAUGUAGGUCAGUUGGGGAGACAGGUUUCCGUAUGCCAUCACUCAGGGACCUAGGCUUCUGUGUUUAUUGGCUCCACCAUUUCCUCCCUGGGUCUGAUAGAUCCAUGAGGGAAGAGAGUGAGAACAGAGGAUUGCAAGGGAGGUUUCACGAGCCAGAUUCAGAGGUCUGGAGGCAACAUUACUUCUACCCACAUUCUAGGAGUCAGAACGCAGUCACAUGGCCACAUCUAACUACAAGGGAGGCUGGGAAAUGUAGUCUUGCUAUAAGCCCGGGGUGAAAGGGGAAUUGUCUGAUGAACACAUAGCAGUGAUUGCCACACUGUCAACAAGUUACAUAUGUUGACUAUGCUGACACAUGAGCACUUAAAUAUUAAAUCAUAUUAAAUAGACAAAGCAAAACACAGAAACACUAAUUAGGACUGAUUACUAAUAACUGUAUACUUGCAAUUAUGUAUACUGACCAACUCAGAAGUGAUUUUAAAGUAUUGUGGGCUUUGUAGUUGUAUGUUUUGUCCUUACUGUAAAAAGAAAAAUUCACAGGGCAGAUAAAACUGUGGUUAUGGAUUCAUGUGACCAGAUGUGGAAUUGCAUUAUGGUGUUUACCUUUUUGAAACUUUUUCAUUGAAAACAUAGAAGCUUGUUUGCAGCAACAUGGAUGAACCCGGAGGUCAUUGUGCUAAGUGAAAUAAGCUAGAUAUGGAAGGACAAAUACUGUAUGAUCUCACGCAUAUGUGGAAUCUAAAAAAGUUGAACUCAUUGAGGUGGAGAGUAGAACAGCAGUUGCCAGGGGGUGGGGGCUGGAGAAAACAGGGAGACGUGCUCAAAGGGUUCAAUGUUAGUUAUAAGAUGACCAAGUGCUGAAAAUCUAAUGGACAGAUGGUAAUGGAUGUAUUAAUUAAUUUGAUCGUGGUUAUCAUUAUACAAUGUCUACAUAUAUCAAAUCAUCACAUUGUAGACCUUGAGUAUAUUCAGUCUCUGUUAGUUAAAUAUUUUAAAAUAAAAAAUUUAAAAACAUAAA